ensembl:snRNA U6 U6 spliceosomal RNA
GUGCUUGCUUUAGCUGACAUAUACUAAAAUUGGAACAAUACAGAGAAUAUCAGCAUGGCUCCUGCACAAGGAUGACAUGCAAAUUUGUGAAGCACUGCUUAUUUUU